GCGGCAGCUGGGUUCUUCUUCAGGAGACGGAGAAGAUAGAAAGCAGUCUGUAGUUUAUUAUUUUUAGAUAAAGUCACCGCAGAGAAGCGCCGUCCGCCUGAGUGUCUUCUGACUGCAGCAGGAGGAUCAUGGAGCGGCGGACAGGACGACAGAAUGCGAAAAUGAGGUACUGGGACUGCUGUCCAGGACCAGGAGCUGGCUGAUCCACUGUCAGAAGCGGGGCAGUGGUCUAUAUGUACGAAACCAGAUUGCCGCCAAGGAGCUUCCAGGUGCAGCGACGUCUCGCCUCAAGCAUGAUGGGUCUUCCUCCACCGCCGGGGCCACCUGCACCGACUUGCAGCAGCCGCCACAGACGUAUUUGAGGAAGCCCAGGUAGGCGCUGCCGGACACGAUCACUGUGAUGAUGAUGAUGAUGGUGGCUCCAAACGCCGGGGAAACGGAGUCGUCCAGUACGGACCGCAGGCCUCCGGUGCUGAUAUCGCCCGAGCCCGGGAUGAGCAGGCCUUCACCAGGCCCGCUGGUGGCCUCGCCUGGAACCAGAGACAAAGGUCAAAGGACUCUAUGAGGUGUGACACAUCGCUAAGCUCAGUGAAAAUGUCUAAACUAGCUUUAGUGGAACCAGAACAGGUUCAGCAGCUGCAGCUUAUUUCUCACCUCAAAUGUGUUUUCAGAAAUAUUUUCCACUGAACUGUUUCAGUAAUAAGAAAGCUUGUGACCGAGUCUUCAUGUUGGCUUGGUGAGUGACACACCCACUUGCUACUGAUAUGUGUUUCCGUUUGGGGGGGGAAAAAAACCCUUGUGAACACGUGAGACGAACCUCACUUUCUCCUGAGUGACAGAAGGUCCAGUGGCUGAUCAGAAGUCUCAUGAGGAAAAUGAAGAUGUCUUCAUUGAUUG